rnacentral:RNase_P_RNA from 1 species
GGCACGCGGGCGAGGAAAGUCCGGGCUCCAUAGGGCAGGAUGCAAGCUAACGGCUUGUGGAGGCGACUCUAAGGAAAGUGCAACAGAAAGAUACCGCCUGCAAUACGCAGGUAAGGGUGAAAAGGCGAGGUAAGAGCUCACCCGGUGAUAUGGCGACUUAUCACCGCUGUAAACCCCAUCCGGAGCAACACCUGACACGAAGAUUAAGCCGGCCCGGCACCUUCGGAGAUUGGUGGCUUGAGACGUAUGGUGACAUACGUUCGAGAUAGAUAAUCAUCCACGACAGAACCCGGCUUACGU